rnacentral:rRNA from 1 species
AUGACUCUUAUCUCCACGGGAGGGCCGCCUCAUGCUCCGUCGUCGGAGAUCUCCCACCGCGCCCACCCGGGGCACAAGCUGAUGCUGGUGCCGACGGGCCAGGCCGUGUUCAAGUGCGACGGCUGCCAUGAGCACGGCACGGGCGGCGAUAGGUACACCUGCCUGCAGCCGUCUUGCGACUUCGACCUCCACAAGGACUGCGCCCUCGCACAGCCCACCUUCAAGCACCAGCUGCUGCCCGAUAGCACGUUCGAGCUCUCCUUCGAGCCCCCCCGUGCCAAGCACAGGCAGCUAUGCAGUGCCUGCGGCGACUACGUGAAGGGCUUGCACUACCACUGCUACAGCAAGGACCUGUACCUCCACCCGUGCUGCGCCAAGCUGCCUCUGGAGAUCCGUCUGGGUGAUGAGCUCAAGUUCGAGCUCCGCCCGGAGGUGUCUCACUGCUGCACCAAGUGCAGGAAAGGUGGCGGCGUCAGGGAUUUCUGGUUCUACCGCUCCACCUGCAAGACCGUGUACCUGCAUGUCCGCUGCGUGAUAGAGGAUGUUCUUCUGCCGAGCUCAAGUUCAAGUACCGAGUCCGACGUCGACGGUAAUGGCAGGCUGGCCCGUUACUUCAGGGAGAGUACGUCGCGGAAGCAGGGGUCAGGGAAGGCCGGGAGGAACUCCGACCCCAUAUUCGAGAUCAUUAAGGCCCUGGCGAGCAUCAUCAUCGCGGUACUCACUGGAAAUCCGGUGCCGUUAAUUCCUGCAGUGAUCGAUCUGGGCUCCAACGUCAUCAAAUCGUUGAAAAACAGGUAG